CACCGCGCCGCGAACAUCCCCAACAUUCCGGAGUCGCCCACUAUGCAGACCGCAGCGGGUACACCCCCGACGUAGUGACCGUUCCUGGGACGCCACCAUUGCGCCACAGACCUCGCGGACGCCGUCAGCGCCUGGGACCCCCGCCUCCGAACCGAUGACCGCACCACGGAUGUCCCCGACCAGCAUACCGCGCCGCCGAUGCCACUGACCUUUUGAGUGGCUGGGAAACCGCCGAACCGCUAACCGUGCUGUGGAUGCACCAGACCAGCUUACUACAUCGCCUACAUUCUUGACGGACCGACCGUGCCGCCAUGCAUUCCGCGCCUGGGAUGCCUUCGACGCACCGUAGGUGCUGUGGUCGCGCCACUGACGUCACUGAUGCGCCGACGACGCUGACGCCAUGGACACCCCCCUCCACGCCACCUACACGGAUCGCGCCUCCAACACCGCUGACGCAGUCGAAGCGGGGACCGCGCCACCAACGGCACUAACCUUGUGAGCGGCUAGGAAGCCGCUGAACCGCUAACCGCGCCGUGGAUGCACCCGACCAACUUACUGCAUCGCCUACGUUCUGGACGCGCCGACCGCGCCGCCAAUGCAUUCCGCGCCUGGGACGCCUCAGACGCACCGUAGACGCCGGGGUCGCGCCGCUGACGUCACUGACGCGCCGACCACGCUGACGCCAUAGAACCCCCCAUGCCCCCCCCGCCGACACCACCUGCGCGGAUUGCGCCUCCAACGCCGCUGAAGCAGUCGAAGCGCCACCGACGGCACUGACCGUGUGAGCGGCUGGGAAGCCGCCGAACCGCUAACUGCGCCGUGGAUGCACUCGACCAGUUUACUGCACUGCCGACAUUCCCGACGCGGCGACCGGCUGCUGAUGCCAUCCGCGCCUGGGACGCCUCCGACGUACCGUAGAUGCCGCCGUCGCGCCGUGAUGUCGCUGAUGCGCCGACCACACUGACGCCAUAGACACCCCUGGACACCGCCGGCGCGGACCGCGCCUCCGUCUCUGCUAACGCAGCCGAAGAGCGGACCGCGCCGCCUACAGCACUGACCCUGUGGGUGGCUUUCCGAACCGCGCCAAUGCCAUCCGUGCCUCGGACUCCGGCCACGCACCAUAGACGCCUCCGACUGCCGCUGACGCUGUCAGCGCCUGGGACACCGCCAAUGAAGCUACUGUGCAGGAUCUUAGUGCAACACUGCUCUGCAGACUUGGAUCAGGGCAGAGUGAGGUAGCGGAGGAGCUGUGCCAGCAUCUACAGCGAAAGGAAAAGAUGCUGCAGGACCUUCUGAGUGAUCGACACAAACGAGUGGUGGAACACGAAAUGGAGAUUCAAGGCCUGCUUCAGUCUGUGAACUCCAGGAAGCAGGAAAGCCAAGUGGUAUCUCCUUCUGUCACCCCGGCUGGAGUGCAGUGCCGUGAUCUCAGGUCACUGCAACCUCUGCCUCCUGGGUUCAAGCAAUUCUCCUGCCUCAUCCUCCCAGGUAGCUGGGAUUACAGGUAUGCACCACCAUGCCCAGCUCAUUUUUGUGUUUUUAGUAGAGAUGAGGUUUCACCAUUUGGCCAUGCUGGUUUCCAGUUCCUGGCCUCAAGUGAUCCAUCCACCUGGGUCUCCCAAAGUGCUGAGAUUACAGGCAUGAGCCAUGAUGCCCUGGCCAGGAGUAAAUUCUUAAGUUUUUCUCAUUUCUGUGUUUUUUCUCCUCAAAUCUAAAGUCUCUUAGUUGUCGUGUGCUGCGUUUCAAAGACCACUAACUCAGAAUCUCCCUAGUCAGGUUUUAGAGGAAGAAAGACUCUUGCCUAUGUUAUUUGACCCCAUAAUAAUUUUUUAUGUUUCCUUAUAUUGUAAGGGGAUUAUCCUCCACUGUUCUGAUGGUUAGCCCCACUGAAGUACCAAAUUGUGAGGAUACUCUCAGUGCUGUCAUUGUGAUCAUAGUUCCUGCAUCUUCCUAAGUCCUUCAGUUUUUUAGGGUCCAGUGCAGAUACCUUCCAGAGAUGAUAGUCCUUUAUUGACUGCCAAAGAAGAUGCCAGCAUACCCAGAUCCACAUUAGGAGACUUGAACACAAUGGCAGGGCUGGAAAAAGAACUGAGUAAUGCAAAAGAGAAACUUGAACUCACGGCUAAAAAUGAAAGAGAAAGUCAGUUGGAACUUUCUGCUCUACAGUCCAUGAUGGCUGUGCAAGAAGAAGAGCUGCAGGUGCGGGAAGAAGAGCUGCAGGUGCGGGAAGGGGAGCUGCAGGUGUGGGAAGGAGAGCUGCAUGUGUAGGCUGCUGAUAUGGAGCCUCUGACCAGGAAAGUACAAAUUAAAGAAAACCUCAUAAAAGUCCUUCCAGACUUUUUACAGACCAUUGGAAAUGUUCACAUCUCAGAUUACCUGUAGGGCAUCUUCAGACAGUAUUUGCACACAUUGAAUCCCUUGCCCAGUGCUUACCAAUAUCUCACCUGAAAGUAUAGGCAGACUGUUUCAAGAACAUUUGUUCCUGUGCUCAUCAACUGAAGAAUACUUUUAUUACUAUUUUCAUGUUUACACUUACUU